rnacentral:rRNA from 1 species
AAUUUACUGUAGUUAAACGGCUUGUAGUUGAUCCUGGCACAGGGAAGGGUUUGUUGUGAGAGAGCUCCUGUCUGUCUCUUGGGGCCCUCUUUGUUUUCAGCUGUUUCAUUGGGGCUGAAGUAUACAUGUGGAGAAAUUGUAGCAUCCAGAGCAGCUAUAGGCUGCCUGGAUACGGUUGCUAGGAACUGUGGAAUGGGAAUGUGGUUCUGUUUUCUUUUGGAACUUGGUGGAGAAUGAUUAAGUAUAAGGUGGAGGUAUUAGUGUUGCACCUCUAGAGCUUUUAAACCAGUGUAAAUCUUAAACCAGUGUAAGACCAACUGAAGUGAAAACUUUUGCCAAGGAUGUUUUCAUUACUCAAGGAUGAAGGUGAAAUGGGGAGGUUUAAAAAGGGUUAGGUCCCAUGUAGUUUUGACCAUAAAGGUUGGAAAUGUCUUCUA